rnacentral:lncRNA from 1 species
AGAGGGAGCCCAGACUGGCCGUCUGCAAGCUGCAUCCUGGCCUCAUGUCUCCUGUGACUGAUCACACUCUGCUGUAAACACGGCCAGCCCCCGUUUUCCCACCUGUAAAAUGGAGAUGAGGACACCUGCCCUGUGUGUUUCCCAGAGUCAUGAUGGGAAUCCCCUGAGACAAAGGACUGGAAGGCAGUUUGUAAACCAAAAUCUCUGAGCAAAUAUGACACCGCAGAGUAGGGAGUGAGUCUGUAAGUGACGUGAAGCCUGGCCUGGAGUGGCAACCGGAAGGCCCUAUGGCCCCAUGGUGCUGUGUCAUCCCUGGACUUCCCGCAGCUGCUAGAGUGAAGGAAGGAGCUGGUCUGUCACUUAACACCAGAAGAGAAAGUGGCCCGGAGAGCAGGCAUCUCCCAGAUAUCUGACUGGGCCAGAUAUCUGACUGCUAGGAACUGGGGACACAGACCUGGGAACUCUGUGCCCUUAUGACAUCAGAGCCUGGCGGCCAGGAUGGAAAGUGUGUUGCGGCCCCAGCCUGAAUGGCACUUUUGGGUGGACAUAGACCCAGAGGUGCAUGGCGUGGGGAGGCUGGCACUAAAGGGCCUGCCCAUGUGGCAUCCCAGGCAUGGACAUCCUGAGGGUGAGGGGAGAAGGCAGGCAAGGUGCUGGCACCACACUUCUGCUGGGAUUGUGCACGGUUUGGCAUCCUGGUUCCAAGCUGAGCCCCCUGCAGUUGCAGAAGGCCACUUUGGUGGGGAGGGGACACUCCUGGGUUCUGGUGGCAUGGCCUGCCUGGCACAGUGUGGCACUGGAUGGAAAGAGAGACUGGGGGGAGUGGUCUCUUAUUUUGAGACACUGCAAACACCUCGUUUCUCUGGGCCUCAAUCCUAAGAGCCUGCGGGUCAGGCCGAGUGGUAAGGUGGAUGAACCCCUGACUUUGGAACCAGACAGACAUGGAUUUCAAUCCUGCUGUGCAAAUCUGGGCAGCCUUCUCAGCUGAGCCUGUUUCCUCACCUGCUGGCAGAGGGCUCAAUGCAAUCGGGCAUGAACCUGGGCACAUGACAGAAUCCAGCCAGGGCUAACUGCUGUUUAUAGUACUGACGCUUAGCGAUCCAAACAAAAAUAAAAUUCAGGAAUCUGGCCCUGUAGGGUCUGUACUGGCCACUCGGCAUCAUCCUCCCACUUCCUGACCACCUUCGGAUGACACUGGUUCUUCCAAAGGAGGGAUGGUGGCUGCCCACCCAGGUGUCCUGGGGACACUGCAAGGGGUGGGGAGACAUGCCAUUCUGGAGGAGUUAAGCUCGCUGGCAAUGGAUCCAAAGGCAGCCCCUCCCCCCUACUCCCCUACGCAAGGGACCAAGCCACAGCUGGCAUGAAGUGAUGCCCUAUGGCACCUUCCAAGGAACUCCUGCCACAUCUCCAUCCCCUCUGUCACUGUGGAGAAGGACCCAUCCUCACUGAAGCAGAGGCUCCCAGGGGCGUGGGGCAGGACUUGCGGGAAGCAAGAGCGGGGCCUGGGGAUGGGGGUGGGGGAGGCAUGGGACCCAGUGUUGGGCCCAGGGGCGCUAGGGGCCUGAGGGGCAGGGGGCAGGGCUAGAGGGGUGAGGGGCUGUGCUAAGCCAGGGAGCCCUCAAGGGCCACACGUUGGUGUGGUAACCCCUGUGUGUAUCUGCUGGAGCAGGCUCAGUCCUCUGGUUACCCCGGCUUCCCACACCCCUCUCCCUUCACACGUUUUGACCCCUAGGCAGCGUCUCCACUUGGGAAGGCCCAAGGCCCAAACUUAAAGUGUUCCUGGUGCCUGACCCCAAGUCUCUUGUUUUAGGAUUGGGGAAACUGAGGUCCCGAGAAGCAAGGCAUUUGUGGUGUUUUGCAGGGGGAGAUCCCCUGGUCUCUCCUCUUUCCAUCCAGUGCCACACUGUGCCAAGCAGGCUGUGCCAGCAGAACCCAGGAGCAUUCCCUCCCCAUCAGAGUGGCCCCUCUACAACUGCAGGGGGCUCAGCUUGGAGCCAGGACCUCCCAUGUCUCCUGGUGGGGAAGGUGAGAGCAGCCUUCCCGAGGGAAAAACGCCUGGCCCUAGCCCAUGUGGACCUCCAGGACGCCGGGACCUUCCCACGGGAGGGGCAGUGCUGUGCAGGCCACCCGCCCUUGCCACAGCAGUCACUACCAUCUCUAGAUGGCACAGAGAGAAGCAAGGGCUGCAGCCACCUGCAGCCUUUCACCAAGAAUAAGCUGUGGCCAGAACUAAUGGGCACAUAGGCUGCUUGGAAU